rnacentral:rRNA from 1 species
CUGGCUCAGGAUGAACGCUAGCGGCAGGCCUAAUACAUGCAAGUCGAACGAUACUCUUUAGCUUGCUAGAGAGGAAAGUGGCGCACGGGUGCGUAACG